rnacentral:rRNA from 1 species
UACGUAGGGGGCGAGCGUUGUCCGGAUUUAUUGGGUUUAAAGGGUGCGCAGGCGGGACGCCAAGUCAGCGGUCAAAUUUCGGGGCUCAACCCCGACCUGCCGUUGAAACUGGCGUCCUCGAGUGGGCGAGAAGUAUGCGGAAUGCGUGGUGUAGCGGUGAAAUGCAUAGAUAUCACGCAGAACUCCGAUUGCGAAGGCAGCAUACCGGCGCCCAACUGACGCUGAGGCACGAAAGCGUGGGUAUCGAA